GCUUUUUCUUUCACCGGAGCUUGCUCCACCGAAAGAAAAAGAGUGGCGAACGGGUGAGUAACACGUGGGUAACCUGCCCAUCAGAAGGGGAUAACACUUGGAAACAGGUGCUAAUACCGUAUAACACUAUUUUCCGCAUGGAAGAAAGUUGAAAGGCGCUUUUGCGUCACUGAUGGAUGGACCCGCGGUGCAUUAGCUAGUUGGUGAGGUAACGGCUCACCAAGGCAACGAUGCAUAGCCGACCUGAGAGGGUGAUCGGCCACACUGGGACUGAGACACGGCCCAGACUCCUACGGGAGGCAGCAGUAGGGAAUCUUCGGCAAUGGACGAAAGUCUGACCGAGCAACGCCGCGUGAGUGAAGAAGGUUUUCGGAUCGUAAAACUCUGUUGUUAGAGAAGAACAAGGAUGAGAGUAAAAUGUUCAUCCCUUGACGGUAUCUAACCAGAAAGCCACGGCUAACUACGUGCCA
rnacentral:rRNA from 1 species